rnacentral:lncRNA from 1 species
GGGGAGGCCCCGAGACCUUCAACCAGAGUUGGUGUGAGGUGCUUCUACCCAGCAAAGAAAUGCCAGGAAUAUGGCCAUCACUCACCCAGACAGGAUCACUACCUUCGAGACCUUGCACAGACUCAAGGAGUAUGGACCUGGGAGUCCCAGCGCACGCUGGGCUGGCCCUGCACCAUCAACUAGCUCCAUGCCAUCCACCCUGUCAGAUCUCUGCCCAAAUCCAGCCCUUGGCCUCCAGAUCCUGAAGCUGAAAGCUCCCAGCACCUGCUCUCCCUCUGCCUCUUCCAUCCUUGUGAACAAGCGGCCCAGCUCAGGCCACUAACCUGACUUCCUGACCUCUGGCUCUAGCUUCCAGGCUGGGAGUUGGAGUGGAGGUGGACUCAUUUUUGGAAUAACCAGCCUCAGGAGUCAAAAAUACAGUUUUACAGACUGGAACCCUGUUUGGGGAGGUUUCUGAGUCCCUUGAUGUACGCAAGAGCCAGCUUCACACACAAACGCACACGCACACACACAUGCAUGCAUGCACACACCUGGUCAGCCCUCCCCCAACAUACUAUUCCAUGUAAAUCCUCACACAUACCAUACACAUAUGGUCAAAAUACUCCAUGUAUCCCACACUCUGUGCUCACACAUUGUGCCACAUGCACAUCCAUGACUCCACCUUGCCCGAUAUAGACCCACAGUGCUCACACACACACACAAACAUGCAUACACAGUUACACCCUCACAACCGCACUUGCACAUCCACAUCCAUUCACAUGCUCACUCCUUCAUACUCACACACAAAUAUGUGUGUACCUUCAGGCCUCAUGCUCAUGGACAUUUACACACGGGCUCACUCUUACUGCCUUACACGCACACGCACACAUCAUACAUCCUUACCCAACAGGCGCUGUUCCAAGCACUUUAUGUGAUAAGCUCACCCCGAGUAACACAACCUAUGAGGGAGGUACUAUAUCACUUCCAUUGUAUAGAUGAGGGAACUGAAGCACAGAGAGGUUAAGUCACUUGUCUAACACCACACAGCUAUUAAUGGCAGAGCUGGAAUCCAAACCCAAGCCAUCAGGCUCCCCAAUCCAAGCUCUUAGCCACUACAUUCCAUGGUCUGUUUGGUGGCAGAAAUAAAGUUAGUUAUUACAAUAAGCCUUGGAAAGAGUUUGUAGUUUUGCUGUGUCUCAGUUUGCCAUCACUUUCCUCAGAAGGGGAUAAAAAUCAGUCCAGCCUCUGUCUAUG